rnacentral:rRNA from 1 species
UACGGAGGGUGCAAACGUUGCUCGGAAUCAUUGGGCGUAAAGCGCACGUAGGUGGUCCAGCAAGUCGGGUGUGAAAGCCCUCGGCUUAACCGAGGAAGUGCAUUCGAAACUACUGGACUUGAGUACUGAAGAGGAUCGCGGAAUUCCCGGUGUAGAGGUGAAAUUCGUAGAUAUUCGCAAGAACACCAGUGGCGAAGGCGGCUCACUGGCCCGGUACUGACGCUGAGGUGCGAAAGCGUGGGGAGCAAACAGG